CCUGGUGGCUCAGAUGGUAAAGAAUCUGCCUACAAUGCAGAAGACCCAGGUUCGAUCCCUGAGUCAGG
rnacentral:tRNA from 1 species